AUACAGAGGGUGCGAGCGUUAAUCGGAAUUACUGGGCGUAAAGCGCACGUAGGUGGAUGAGCAGGUUGGAUGUGAAAGCCCCGGGCUUAACCUGGGAAUGCCAUUCAAAACCAUUUGUCUAGAGUACAGUAGAGGAAAGUGGAAUUUCCGGUGUAGCGAUGAAAUGCGUAGAUAUCGGAAGGAACACCAGUGGCGAAGGCGACUUUCUGGACUGAUACUGACACUGAGGUGCGAAAGCGUGGGGAGCAAACAGGAUUAGAAACCCCAGUAGUCC
rnacentral:rRNA from 1 species